GCCGGGCGUGGUGGCUCACGCCUGUAAUCCCAGCACUUUGGGAGGCUGAGAUGGGUGGAUCACCUGAGGUCAGGAGUUUGAGACCAGCCUGACCAACAUGGUGAAACCCCGUCUCUA
ensembl:misc_RNA Metazoa_SRP Metazoan signal recognition particle RNA